AACGAACGCUGGCGGCAGGCCUAACACAUGCAAGUCGAGCGAAGCCUUCGGGCUUAGCGGCGGACGGGUGAGUAACGCGUGGGAACGUGCCCUUUGCUACGGAAUAGCCCCGGGAAACUGGGAGUAAUACCGUAUGUGCCCUUCGGGGGAAAGAUUUAUCGGCAAAGGAUCGGCCCGCGUUGGGUUAGGUAGUUGGUGGGGUAAUGGCCUACCAAGCCGACGAUCCAUAGCUGGUUUGAGAGGAUGAUCAGCCACACUGGGACUGAGACACGGCCCAGACUCCUACGGGAGGCAGCAGUGGGGAAUCUUAGAAAAUGGGCGCAAGCCUGAUCUAGCCAUGCCGCGUGAUCGAUGAAGGCCUUAGGGUUGUAAAGAUCUUUCAGGUGGGAAGAUAAUGACUGUACCACCAGAAGAAGCCCCGGCUAACUCCGUGCCAGCAGCCGCCGUAAAAC
rnacentral:rRNA from 1 species